GGCUGGACCACCAGCCAAGGCUAAAUAUAAUAUACGAUCGAUAGUGAACUAGUACAGCGAUGGAAAGGUGAAAAGAACCCCGGGAGGGGAGUGAAAUAGAACCUGAAAUUGUGUGCCUACAAGGAGUCGGAGCCGGCUUGUCCGGUGACGGCGUGCUUUUUGUAGAACGAUCCAGCGAGUUAAUUUUUACAGCGAGGUUAAGUCAAUUGACGGAGCCACAGUGAAAGCGAGCCUGAAUAGGGCGAUAAGUGUAUGGGAUUAGACCCGAAACCGGGUGACCUAACCAUGAGCAGGUUGAAGCUGCGGUAACACGCAGUGAAGGACCGAACCAGUUUGCGCAGUAAAGCAUUUGGAUGACUUGUGGUUAGCGGUGAAAUGCCAAUCGAACUCGGAGAUAGCUGGUUCUCCUCGAAAUAGCUUUAGGGCUAGCGUCAUGUAAUAUAGCCAACGGGGGUAGAGCUCUGUAAACGACUGGGGCGGGCAACUGUACCCACCGUUAACAAACUACGAAUACCGUUGGUGGUACCAUGGCAGUUAGAACAUCGGGGCUAAGCUCGGUGCUCAAAAGGGAAACAGCCCAGACCAUCAUCUAAGGUCCCUAAAUUAACACUAAGUGGGAAACAAGGUGAAAUUUCUUAAACAGCGAGGAUGUUGGCUUAGAAGCAGCCAUUCAUUUAAAGAGUGCGUAACAGCUCACUCGUCAAGAGAUUUUGCGUGGAAAAUGUAACGGGGCUAAAGUGUUAUACCGAAGAUAUGGAUUUCGUUAUUCCUACGGGUUUAACGGAGUGGUAGAGGAGCGUUCCUAUCGGCAGUGAAGCUCAAUCGUAAGGUUGGGUGGAGCGUUAGGAAGUGAGAAUGCUGGAAUGAGUAACCAUAAGAAAGGUGAGAAUCCUUUCGGCCGUAAGAGCGAGGUUUCCAGGGCUACUGUAAUAAUCCCUGGGUUAGUCGGGCCUAAGCCGAGGCGUAGCAGCGUAGGCGAUGGACAUCAGGUUAAUAUUCCUGAACCGGUUAUAAUUUGUAUACUGUGUACGGUAAAUUAGUCGAAGCGGAUUAUUGGUAUAUAUCCGUCCAACUUAGCGGGAACGCAAAAGGAGUGAAAGUUAAUCUACGGAUUAACGAUUUUGAUGAAAGUACUGGCUAGAAAAGCAGAUAUACGCGUGGUUAUAGCCGCCCGUACCGCAAACCAACACAGGUGCUCGAGUCGAGUAGACUCAGGCUUACGAGAGACCCUUCGCUAAGGAACUCGGCAAAACAGCGACCGUAACUUCGGGAUAAGGUCUGCCUCCGCAUCAUUCGAUGCGAGUCGUGUUUCAAGCAAUUAGGUUAAGAUUAAUGGUAUAUAUGAGUAUCUUAAACUUCUUUACCGAGAUAGAACAAGUCAAAUGGCUUAGCUUGGAACGCGGCAACCUCGUGUCAAACGAUGCGGAGGCCGCAGCAAAAGAGCCCACGGAACUGUUUACCAAAAACACAGGUCUCUGCUAACACGAAAGUGGAUGUAUAGGGGCUGACUCCUGCCCAGUGCUGGAAGGUUAAGGGGAGUGCUUUACGGUGCGAACUGAAGCCCCAGUGAACGGCGGCGGUAACUAUAACCGUCCUAAGGUAGCGAAAUUCCUUGUCAGGUAAGUUCUGACCCGCACGAAUGGAGUAAUCAUGUGGGCACUGUCUCGGCGAAGGACUCGGUGAAAGUGCAUUGGCGGUAAAGAUGCCGUCUGUCCAUGCCAGGACGAGAAGACCCCAUGGAGCUUUACUACAGCUUUACAUUGACACGGGUUACAUCAUGUGUAGCAUAGGUGGGAGGCUUUGAAGCAGAUACGCCAGUAUUUGUGGAGCCACAGGUGAAAUACCACCCUUGAUGUAGUCUUUGUCUUACCAUUGCCGUUAUCCGGUAAUGGGACCGUGUAUGGUGGGUAGUUUAACUGGGGCGGUUGCCUCCUAAAGAGUAGCGGAGGCGUUCAAAGGUUGGCUAGCUUCGGAUGGAAAUCGAAGUGAUAGUGCAUGCGCAAAAGCCAGCUUGACUGCGAGAAUUACAAUUCGACCAGAGUGGAAACACGGAGCAAGUGACCCGCUGUAAGAACAUUGUUCAUUGAAUGUGGGAUCGACAGCGCACACGGAUAAAAGUUACCCUGGGGAUAACAGGCUUAUCGCGCCCAAUAGUUCACAUAGACGGCGCGGUUUGGCACCUCGAUGUCGGCUCAUCACAUCCUGGAGGGGGAGCACCUUCCAAGGGUUCGGCUGUUCGCCGAUUAAAGUGGUACGCGAGCUGGGUUCAGAACGUCGUGAGACAGUUCGGUUUAUAUCCGG
rnacentral:rRNA from 1 species